rnacentral:rRNA from 1 species
CCUACGGGCGGCAGCAGUGGGGAAUAUUGGACAAUGGGCGAAAGCCUGAUCCAGCCAUGCCGCGUGUGUGAAGAAGGCCUUCGGGUUGUAAAGCACUUUCAGUGGGGAAGAAAGCCUUGGGGCUAAUACCCUCGAGGAAGGACAUCACCCACAGAAGAAGCACCGGCUAACUCCGUGCCCGCAGCCGCGGUAAUACGGAGGGUGCGAGCGUUAAUCGGAAUUACUGGGCGUAAAGCGCGCGUAGGCGGUCUGAUAAGCCGGUUGUGAAAGCCCCGGGCUCAACCUGGGAACGGCAUCCGGAACUGUCAGGCUAGAGUGCAGGAGAGGAAGGUAGAAUUCCCGGUGUAGCAGUGAAAUGCGUAGAGAUCGGGAGGAAUACCAGUGGCGAAGGCGGCCUUCUGGACUGACACUGACGCUGAGGUGCGAAAGCGUGGGUAGCAAACAGGAUUAGAUACCCUAGUAGUC